rnacentral:rRNA from 1 species
GACGCUAUUUAUAGAGUGGCGCACGGGUGAGUAACGCGUGGGAACCUGCCUUUUUCUGCGGGAUAACGGUUGGAAACGACCGCUAAUACCGCAUACGCCCUACGGGGGAAAGGUCCGCCGGGGAAAGAGGGGCCCGCGUCUGAUUAGCUAGUUGGUAGGGUAAUGGCCUACCAAGGCGACGAUCAGUAGCUGGUCUGAGAGGACGAUCAGCCACACUGGGACUGAGACACGGCCCAGACUCCUACGGGAGGCAGCAGUGGGGAAUAUUGGACAAUGGGGGCAACCCUGAUCCAGCAAUGCCGCGUGUGUGAUGAAGGCCUUAGGGUUGUAAAGCACUUUCACUGGUGAAGAUGAUGACGGUAACCAGAGAAGAAGCCCCGGCUAACUUCGUGCCAGCAGCCGCGGUAAUACGAAGGGGGCGAGCGUUGUUCGGAAUUACUGGGCGUAAAGGGCGCGUAGGCGGUCGUUUAAGUUAGGCGUGAAAUCCCCGGGCUCAACCUGGGAACUGCGCUUAAAACUGAAAGACUAGAAAACGGAAGAGGGUAGUGGAAUUCCCAGUGUAGAGGUGAAAUUCGUAGAUAUUGGGAAGAACACCAGUGGCGAAAGCGGCUACCUGGUCCGAUUUUGACGCUGAGGCGCGAAAGCGUGGGGAGCAAACAGGAUUAGAUAC